UACGUAGGGGGCUAGCGUUGUCCGGAAUUACUGGGCGUAAAGAGCUCGUAGGUGGUUUGUCGCGUUGUUCGUGAAAACCUGAGGCUUAACCUUGGGCGUGCGGGCGAUACGGGCAGACUGGAGUACUGCAGGGGAGACCGGAAUUCCUGGUGUAGCGGUGGAAUGCGCAGAUAUCAGGAGGAACACCGGUGGCGAAGGCGGGUCUCUGGGCCGAUACUGACGCUGAGGAGCGAAAGCGUGGGGAGCGAACAGG
rnacentral:rRNA from 1 species